UACGUAGGGGGCUAGCGUUGUCCGGAAUCAUUGGGCGUAAAGCGCGUGUAGGCGGUCCGGUAAGUCCGCUGUGAAAGUCGAGGGCUCAACCCUCGAAUGCCGGUGGAUACUGUCGGGCUUGAGUACGGGAGAGGCGAGUGGAAUUCCUGGUGUAGCGGUGAAAUGCGCAGAUAUCAGGAGGAACACCGAUUGCGAAGGCAGCCUCGCUGGAACGUUACUGACGCUGAGACGCGAAAGCGUGGGGAGCAAACAGG
rnacentral:rRNA from 1 species